UUAAACCGGUACAGAAUUGAUUGCGAGUAA
rnacentral:sRNA from 1 species